UACGGAGGAUCCGAGCGUUAUCCGGAUUUAUUGGGUUUAAAGGGUGCGUAGGCGGAAUAUUAAGUCAGGGGUGAAAGUUUGCGGCUCAACCGUAAAAUAGCCUUUGAUACUGAUAUUCUUGAGUACAUUUGAGGUGGGCGGAAUGUGAUGUGUAGCGGUGAAAUGCAUAGAUAUAUCACAGAACACCAAUUGCGAAGGCAGCUCACUAAACUGUAACUGACGCUAAUGCACGAAAGCGUGGGUAUCGAACAGG
rnacentral:rRNA from 1 species